GGCCGACGUCAGCGGCGGCAGCAGCCAGCCAGGCCCGUCCGGUCGGAGGCGCUGCUGAUCACUGAAGGGCCGCUUCCAGAGCUGACUUCUGAGCCACCAUGGUACGACCCGAGCCGACCAGUCGCCGCAAACUGAAUGAUGCAAGAGGACGAGACCCCGAAGUGGUGUCGUGAAGCUGCCAGAGGGACGCGCAGAACACUCUCCUCAAUAUGCUCCUCGACAUCAUGACGGUGAUAGUGGUGUUCCUGAUCUGGACGAGCCACCAGUGGGAGCCGGCGGAGCUGUCCGGCUGGAGCCCGACGGCGGGACGCGCCGACUCGGCGUGGUCGG